AGGACUCAACUUACUUUUCCUGAGAAACUCUUCUUUUGCCAAGCAAAGCUUGCACUUUCUUUUGGAAAUGGAUCGAUCAACUCAAUAGUAGUGCCUCCAACCCUUUUAGCAGCUGAAAAAGAAGAAGUCAAAUCUGUGUUAUCCUUGUUCUUGAAGAAACAAGGUCUGAGCAAGGUAGUUGCUGCAAAAACCGUCACUAAAUCAGAUCUUUUCAUCGACCACCUUGUCUCAAGGCUUCAUUCUGUUCAUAAGUCUUGGUAUCUUGAAGAGAGCUCACAACUCUUGAGAUCAGGGACACUCUUAUUCCUUAUAUUGAUUCUCUUCUUGUAGAGCAUGGAAAUGUCGUAAAUUUAGUGGAGAACUUUCCUAAUACACCUGUCAAAGACAAGUCAGCUGCGUCAGUCUCUCAACACCUUUCCACCCCCGACUCCAAGAAGCCGAAAGGGGUCUCUAAUGCACUUGUUAAAGAAAAGGCAGCUGCGUCAGUUUCUCAAUCCUUUUCUGCUCCCCUUGACUCCAAGAAGCCAAAGGUGGUCUCUAAUGGACCUAGUGAAAAAACGCCAGCCACAUCAGUUUCUCAAUCUGGUUCUGCUCUUGACUCUAAGAAGCCAAAAUCUGUCUCUCGAAUGAUUGAGAUUGGCACAG